CACAUUAUCUACCCAGCUGGCAUGACUUGGCAAACAGUCUUUUACAAGGUACUGCACCAGCCUGGGAUGGCCUGGAGAUGCAGUGUGCCCCUUUUCUGUGAGUGAAGGUGUGGCAUGUAAACUUGUUAACUGCUGUCACCAAUUUUUCUAACUUUAGCAAUCAGCAAAUGUUCCAUGUGUAGCACAGGUGAAGGGUUUAUGGGUAGUAGGCUGCCAAAAAAAAAAAAAAAAGGCAAACAAAAGAAAUCAACCUCCAGAGCAUACUAACUAUUUAAAGAGGUUGAACAGAUCAUGCAUGUUGUAGGUGCCAUGUAAGAUACAGGGCAGAGCUA
rnacentral:lncRNA from 1 species